CCUGCCCCCCAUCACACCCCCCCCCGACUCAUUCCCCUGAGCAGCGCCAGCCUCGGCGGGGCUUCCUGGCAGCCCUGCGGGUCAGGCUUAGCGGCGGGGAGGGCACAACCCUACAGAGGCACGGACUUCGGGGAGCCCCAGCCCGGCUGCUUAACGGGUGGGGGAGACCCGGGGCCGAGCUCAACCCCCCCGCGGCCCCUCCGCCGCCUCUCCCCCGCCACCUGCGGGGGCCGCCCCGCUGCGGGGCGCGCAGGCGCCUCUGUUGGGGCAGGUGGGGGCCGGGCGCCAUGUUGUGAGCGGAAGCCGUGCCCGGGCGGCGGGGCCGGGGGGAGGGCGGAAGCGCGGCCCCGCCUGGCGGCGGGGAGGGACGGAGGGACCGCGGCUGCGGGCACCGCUCGGCGCCGCCGCUACCGGAGCCGGAGCCAGAGCCAGAGCCGGAGCCGGGGCGUCCCGCGCCCUGCCGUAGGGCUCUCCGCCCCCGGAGCGCGGAGGCUGCGGGAGCGGCGCGGGGAAGAUGCCCCUGGCUCAGCUGGCGGACCCCUGGCAGAAGAUGGCUGUGGACAGCGCGGCCGAGAGCGGCGCCGAGGUACGGGGCGGGGGGGGGAGGGGGGGGGGGGGGAAGUUGGGGGGGGGGGCCGGGAGCCGGCCCCGCGCUGCCCCCCCCCCCCUCCGGGGCUCCCCGCCCGCCCUCCCCUUCCGCCCCCUGCCCCGGCGGGGAGCGACCUGCGGCCGGCCCCGGCCCUUUUGUUCCUCCUCUCCCCGGGGGCUGGGAGCGGCUGCGGAGGGUGGAGAGGGGCCGGGGGCUGCCCCUCGGGGCCGGGGUGGUCGCCGCGGGGUGGGGGGCGAGGGGCGGGCUCCGUGCGCUCGGCGGCGGCGGCUGCGGGGAGCGUCCCCGGCAGGGAGGGCAGCGCCGUGCGGCUCCUGCCCUUGUUAGGCAGUGCCUGCCCGCCCGCCCCGCCGUCAUGUGCCGGGGGCAGCUGCCCCGUGCCGCCUGCCCCGGGGGCUGCUCCUGCUGCAGGGACAGCAGCGACAGGAGAGGUGCGGCGGGAGAGGCGUCUCUGA
rnacentral:lncRNA from 1 species